UGUAGUUUUUGCACUAAAUGGUUCCUGA
rnacentral:piRNA from 1 species